GCAAAUUGCUCUGCUGUGUGGCUGAGCUCUUACUAGUGGGUGAACCUUAGCUAUAUUUAAGAGCUGCAGCAUUUAUGCUCUCUAAGCUGUACCUAGAUGGUUUUGUCUGCAGAGCCUACCUGGAAAAGAUGCAUUGAGGUGGCCUGUAACAACUGAAGUGUAACCUGCUGAGCAUUUCUUACUGGAACCAUCUGACCAGCUCUGUGUUAGACACGGAGGGAGCAGAUCCCAUGUGUCAUAGCAUCCUCGAAGCAGAAGUCAUGUCAUAAAGGAGCUUCUUCUGAUGACUCUCCCCAGUUGGACUGAGGUUAACACCUUGGCUGUCUGCAUCUCUAGUUCAUAGCAUGGAGAAGGUGCUGUGCUUCCUCACUAAACAUGUGUGCUCUUUGCGCCUCAACAGCCAGUAAACAAUGUGACUCAGAAAAUGAAAUCAGAUUUUUUUUUCUCUUUAAACUGGAACGUGUAAUUAUUGGAGAUGACAAUCUUCCAUUUCUUGGAAGAGGGCAAAGAAUCUUAGCUGGGAUUUCCUUAAUAUGACUCAGUUUAAUACUCAAUUCAUGGAAAUCAGUGAGAAGCAAAGUAGCUGUCUGGUCCUUAGUGCCAGGGUGUCAGUGCUGGCGCCCAUGUGAGUAGCCAGCCUUCCCCAGAACGCAUUACUGUCACUUCCCAGAACUGAAAUUCUCAGUCCAAAUCCAGCAGCAUGUGACAGACUGACUUCUUUUAGCUCUGCAUGCUGUCAAUGAAUUCAGAAGACUUGAUGUAAGAUAUAAUUAUUCCAUACUGGAGAAUUCCUUGUGACUGUACGGUGUUCUAGUAUAUCCAAGUUCAAACUGCAUUCGUUGAAGUUGCUUAGAGGUAACCCACCUGCCAUGAAAAACUGGGAUUUAUAAGUGUACACAUCCUGGUUAAAUGAUGGCCUCUUCAUUCCUUAAAUUCAGCACCUAUCUGACUGGGUAAAUUUGAUUUAAUAAGCCUUACUAUAAUGCCAUGGCAGAGACCAAGCUCUGAAUCUGAAGUGAUGGUACUGCAUUCAGGUUCUCCUUUAGGCUGUGACAAUGCUGUGUGUAAAGCUGUAAAACCAGCAACACAAAUACUGUCGUGGCUUGAAGAUUUUAGCAUGACUUCCUCUGCAAAUGUGGGCAGGACUUCCACGGCUUGUGAAGCCAGGAGAGACUUGUGGCCUUCCCCACUCCCUGCUGCAGCCUUGCUCAUGUCCUGCAGCAUGAGUAUCUGUGAGGGGUGGAGGAGAGCCUGGUGCAUGCAGCUGUGCAAAUAUGGGCUGUGGCUGCUUUGGUUUUGUGUGUCAACCAUUUUUGGUCGAUUGAAUUGAGAACUGUUUGUGUUCACUGACAAAUUGUAGAGCUUAAAAAAAAAAAAAAGUUUGGAUUUGACCUGAAAUAAAGUGCAAUGACUGGGGAGAAUAUUUAAGAGCAAGACCAUUUCAAAAUAUAACUAACAUAUAGGAAACAUAAAUAUCUGCCUCUCUGAGGAGUUCUUGUAUAUGGUUUCUCUUGAAUUCCCCAGUGUGAAAUGAAAAUGUGCCCCAAUCUGAUUUUGACAAGGGGUAGG